GGGUACGGCCAUACUGCGGAGAAAGCACCGCUUCCCGUCCGAUCAGCGAAGUUAAGCUCCGCCAGGCGAUGUUAGUACUGGGGUGGGUGACCACCCGGGAAUCCAUCGUGCUGUAUCCUCCC
rnacentral:rRNA from 1 species